GGAGAGCGUAGGGGAGAUGGUUCACCCCAAUGGCAGUAGCGCCGGAUGACGUGGUCAUAACAGGCUGCGAUCAGCGCACGUUCGAAUCGUGCCCUCUCCA
rnacentral:tRNA from 2 species